AUAUUCAGGGGAGAAGGGAAACCACUGAGGGGUCUGGGCAGAAGAAUGAAGGGGCCAGACUUAUGAUUCAAACCAAAGAGCUCCAUCUGCAAUGGAUGAAAAGGGGGUUGCCCUUCUCUCAGACAUCUAUCCUGAGAAAAUCUUGCCGGACUUGUUGGCUCAAUAUGACAGCGGCAAAGACAAGCACACACCAGAGACCAGAAUGAAAGUCGGGGAAGUCCUUAUGCGAAUUGUCAGGGCAUUAGGAGACAUGGUCUCAAAGUACCGAGAACCUUUGAUCCACACCUUCCUGAGGGGAGUGAGAGACCCCGAUGGUGCUCACAGGGCCAGCAGCUUGGCCAACCUUGGGGAGCUGUGCCAGAGGCUGGACUUUCUGCUGGGCUCCGUGGUCCAUGAGGUAACAGCUUGCCUGAUUGCUGUGGCCAAAACAGACGGUGAAGUUCAAGUACGCAGAGCUGCCAUACAUGUGGUGGUGCUGCUGCUUCGGGGACUCAGCCAGAAAGCUACUGAGGUGCUGAGCGCCGUCCUCAAGGAUCUCUACC
rnacentral:sRNA from 1 species